rfam:Triticum urartu cultivar G1812 contig1450946, whole genome shotgun sequence.
UUGUCACCUGGAGUUCUCCUCAAAUCACUUCAGUUGCUAGCUUAUGCCUAAUUGUUGCAUUGGCACUGUUUUAAAGUGUGCAUUGCAGGGAUAAGCGAGGCAUGCAUAGUGAAGUGUUUGGGGGAACUCUAGGUGGCAA